GAAAUGCGAUAAGUAGUGUGAAUUGCAGAAUUCAGUGAAUCAUCGAAUCUUUGAACGCACAUUGCGCCCCUUGGUAUUCCAUGGGGCAUGCCUGUUCGAGCGUCAUUUGUACCCUCAAGCUCUGCUUGGUGUUGGGUGUUUGUCCCGUCUCCGCGCGUGGACUCGCCCCAAAGUGAUUGGCAGCCGGCGUACUGGUCCCGGAGCGCAGCACAUGUCGCGCAAACGAGUGCCUUGGUACGGCGGCGUCCAUAUGCCCCUCUCUCACGCUCUUGACCUCGGAUCAGGUAGGGAUACCCGCUGAACUUAAGC
rnacentral:misc_RNA from 1 species